rnacentral:rRNA from 3 species
GGGUUGUGAGGUUAAGCGACUAAGCGUACACGGUGGAUGCCCUGGCAGUCAGAGGCGAUGAAGGACGUGCUAAUCUGCGAUAAGCGUCGGUAAGGUGAUAUGAACCGUUAUAACCGGCGAUUUCCGAAUGGGGAAACCCAGUGUGAUUCGUCACACUAUCAUUAACUGAAUCCAUAGGUUAAUGAGGCGAACCGGGGGAACUGAAACAUCUAAGUACCCCGAGGAAAAGAAAUCAACCGAGAUUCCCCCAGUAGCGGCGAGCGAACGGGGAGCAGCCCAGAGCCUGAAUCAGUAUGUGUGUUAGUGGAAGCGUCUGGAAAGGCGCGCGAUACAGGGUGACAGCCCCGUACACAAAAAUGCACAUGCUGUGAGCUCGAUGAGUAGGGCGGGACACGUGGUAUCCUGUCUGAAUAUGGGGGGACCAUCCUCCAAGGCUAAAUACUCCUGACUGACCGAUAGUGAACCAGUACCGUGAGGGAAAGGCGAAAAGAACCCCGGCGAGGGGAGUGAAAAAGAACCUGAAACCGUGUACGUACAAGCAGUGGGAGCACAGAGCAAUCUGUGUGACUGCGUACCUUUUGUAUAAUGGGUCAGCGACUUAUAUUCUGUAGCAAGGUUAACCGAAUAGGGGAGCCGAAGGGAAACCGAGUCUUAACUGGGCGUUAAGUUGCAGGGUAUAGACCCGAAACCCGGUGAUCUAGCCAUGGGCAGGUUGAAGGUUGGGUAACACUAACUGGAGGACCGAACCGACUAAUGUUGAAAAAUUAGCGGAUGACUUGUGGCUGGGGGUGAAAGGCCAAUCAAACCGGGAGAUAGCUGGUUCUCCCCGAAAGCUAUUUAGGUAGCGCCUCGUGAAUUCAUCUCCGGGGGUAGAGCACUGUUUCGGCAAGGGGGUCAUCCCGACUUACCAACCCGAUGCAAACUGCGAAUACCGGAGAAUGUUAUCACGGGAGACACACGGCGGGUGCUAACGUCCGUCGUGAAGAGGGAAACAACCCAGACCGCCAGCUAAGGUCCCAAAGUCAUGGUUAAGUGGGAAACGAUGUGGGAAGGCCCAGACAGCCAGGAUGUUGGCUUAGAAGCAGCCAUCAUUUAAAGAAAGCGUAAUAGCUCACUGGUCGAGUCGGCCUGCGCGGAAGAUGUAACGGGGCUAAACCAUGCACCGAAGCUGCGGCAGCGACGCUUAUGCGUUGUUGGGUAGGGGAGCGUUCUGUAAGCCUGUGAAGGUGUGCUGUGAGGCAUGCUGGAGGUAUCAGAAGUGCGAAUGCUGACAUAAGUAACGAUAAAGCGGGUGAAAAGCCCGCUCGCCGGAAGACCAAGGGUUCCUGUCCAACGUUAAUCGGGGCAGGGUGAGUCGACCCCUAAGGCGAGGCCGAAAGGCGUAGUCGAUGGGAAACAGGUUAAUAUUCCUGUACUUGGUGUUACUGCGAAGGGGGGACGGAGAAGGCUAUGUUGGCCGGGCGACGGUUGUCCCGGUUUAAGCGUGUAGGCUGGUUUUCCAGGCAAAUCCGGAAAAUCAAGGCUGAGGCGUGAUGACGAGGCACUACGGUGCUGAAGCAACAAAUGCCCUGCUUCCAGGAAAAGCCUCUAAGCAUCAGGUAACAUCAAAUCGUACCCCAAACCGACACAGGUGGUCAGGUAGAGAAUACCAAGGCGCUUGAGAGAACUCGGGUGAAGGAACUAGGCAAAAUGGUGCCGUAACUUCGGGAGAAGGCACGCUGAUAUGUAGGUGAAGUCCCUCGCGGAUGGAGCUGAAAUCAGUCGAAGAUACCAGCUGGCUGCAACUGUUUAUUAAAAACACAGCACUGUGCAAACACGAAAGUGGACGUAUACGGUGUGACGCCUGCCCGGUGCCGGAAGGUUAAUUGAUGGGGUCAGCGCAAGCGAAGCUCUUGAUCGAAGCCCCGGUAAACGGCGGCCGUAACUAUAACGGUCCUAAGGUAGCGAAAUUCCUUGUCGGGUAAGUUCCGACCUGCACGAAUGGCGUAAUGAUGGCCAGGCUGUCUCCACCCGAGACUCAGUGAAAUUGAACUCGCUGUGAAGAUGCAGUGUACCCGCGGCAAGACGGAAAGACCCCGUGAACCUUUACUAUAGCUUGACACUGAACAUUGAGCCUUGAUGUGUAGGAUAGGUGGGAGGCUUGGAAGUGUGGACGCCAGUCUGCAUGGAGCCGACCUUGAAAUACCACCCUUUAAUGUUUGAUGUUCUAACGUUGACCCGUAAUCCGGGUUGCGGACAGUGUCUGGUGGGUAGUUUGACUGGGGCGGUCUCCUCCUAAAGAGUAACGGAGGAGCACGAAGGUUGGCUAAUCCUGGUCGGACAUCAGGAGGUUAGUGCAAUGGCAUAAGCCAGCUUGACUGCGAGCGUGACGGCGCGAGCAGGUGCGAAAGCAGGUCAUAGUGAUCCGGUGGUUCUGAAUGGAAGGGCCAUCGCUCAACGGAUAAAAGGUACUCCGGGGAUAACAGGCUGAUACCGCCCAAGAGUUCAUAUCGACGGCGGUGUUUGGCACCUCGAUGUCGGCUCAUCACAUCCUGGGGCUGAAGUAGGUCCCAAGGGUAUGGCUGUUCGCCAUUUAAAGUGGUACGCGAGCUGGGUUUAGAACGUCGUGAGACAGUUCGGUCCCUAUCUGCCGUGGGCGCUGGAGAACUGAGGGGGGCUGCUCCUAGUACGAGAGGACCGGAGUGGACGCAUCACUGGUGUUCGGGUUGUCAUGCCAAUGGCACUGCCCGGUAGCUAAAUGCGGAAGAGAUAAGUGCUGAAAGCAUCUAAGCACGAAACUUGCCCCGAGAUGAGUUCUCCCUGACUCCUUGAGAGUCCUGAAGGAACGUUGAAGACGACGACGUUGAUAGGCCGGGUGUGUAAGCGCAGCGAUGCGUUGAGCUAACCGGUACUAAUGAACCGUGAGGCUUAACCUUACAACGCCGAAGGUGUUU